GACAGCUUUGCUUAGCAAUCCAGAAUGAUCAGAUCAGCUGGGUGGACCAGGCAAGGUAGUUUUCAUAGAGCCCAAAGUGCCUAACCCUGCCUGGCAUCAGAAGGGAGGACUGUUUGUUAUCUUGGCUCCAGAAAGACUCUUCAAACUAUUUCUACCAAUACUGUAUUUAUGCCACAUUCUUACUAAGACCUGAUGGAACUAGGCCCUAAAGAGGAAGAGUGGCCAGAAGUGGUGAAAUCUGAUCCAACUGGGCAACCUUCUUUUCUUUUCUUUUUUUUGAGACAGAGUUUCGCUCUUGUUGCCCAGGCUGGAGUGCAACAGCAUGAUCUCGGCUCACUGCAACCGCCAUGUCCUGGGUUCAAGCAGUUCUCCUGCCUCAGCCUCCAGAGUAGCUGGGAUUACAGGCAUGCGCUACCACGCCUGGCUAAUUUUGUAUUUUUAGUAGAGACGGGGUUUCUCCAUGUUGGUCAGGCUGGUCUCAAACUCCCGACCACAGGUGAUUCACCUGCCUCAGCCUCCCAAAGUGCUGGAAUUAGAGGCGUGAGCCACCGGACCCGGACUUAACUGGGCAACCUUCCUUGGGAUACCAGAGGAGAGGGACGUGCCGGGCAAAUGGACAGUCACUUUCUGAGCCUACAGGAAAACUAACCCCAUGGGCUCCUGGGAAAUCCUCUUUGAAGAGCCAGAUUUGCAUAUAAAUAAUAGCAAUGUUCCUGCAGACCCUGUCUUCAGCACUGGCAUUGGGCAAUUAAUUAAAUUGCCAUUAUCCUCCACAAAGUGAUGACUACUGAUUAAGAACAGCCCUUUUUCUCCACCGCUCACUUGGCAGUCCUGUUUCUGCCUGGCCGCAGCCUCAAGUCUCUGCUCCAUGGCGCAAGGCAGACGCACGCAGACAGGCUUUGUCGGUUCGCUGAUGUGUGUUGUUUGGAAAAUGAGAACACAAGGAAAGCUGUCCUUAGGAGGAAGAGGCAAGGAGAGGCAUCGGGAGGCCAAGAGAUCAAAGCGAGGUGUCAGAAACAAAGACAGUGAAGGAGUUCAGUCCCCUUUUAAUGCUGCCUGCCAGUUCAGACGGCCACUGCCCUUGCCUUCUAGGGAAUUCUGCUGGUUAAGAAGCUCAGACAAGCCCCAGAAUGCCCCGAUGAGGACGCAACAGGAAGACAAUCCAUAGACAGAGAAAGUGCUUUGUUUUACGGUUUCCUGGGCACUGACACCAGCAGCCUUUUCUGCCAGCGGUUUGAAAUACGAGACGCUGGUGUUUUUUCCCGGCUCCCUGAAUUUAAAUUACAUCACCAAAGAAGAAACUUCCCGAAGGAAAUGAAUCUCUGCAGAUAACGAUCCCUCACAAUGGAUUCAAAUUGUAAUAAAAAUAUAACUUGAAUGUUAAAGGUGAAUUUCAAUUAAGGAUUCCAUCACAUAUUUUGCUCCAGACCACAAUAAAAAAACUUAUUUCACUGCCAAC
rnacentral:lncRNA from 10 species